CCAAAAUAAAAAAAAUAAAAUCCAAGCCCCACACGUCCCACCCACCAAAAAGCUUCGUAACCCCAAGAAAACCCCAGAGUGACGUACACGUGCACCUCAUGCUCGAUCGUCUUCUUCCUCCUAGCCCCCCGGCGUACGUUAGUCCCAGCUCUGACCUUAACCCGUCCCUAGUUCACUCUCUUCCUUGAAAACCUAAUGUCCAGCUUCAACCCUUGAUCAUAUUUUAGCAGCUGUACUAUAAUUUGAUUUAUUUAUGUUUUUUUAA
rnacentral:misc_RNA from 1 species